AUAGAUUAAGCUGCUAGGUAUCAUUUUCACUCCUAAUGAACAUGUGUCUUGUCAACAAGUUAUUGCAAGUACUUUCCAACUCAGAUAUCUAUUACCAGGUCAAACGGUGAGCUGUUCAGCACAGUGCCUUCCCCUUCAACAUAAAAGACUUAAAGAAGAAAUCGAAGCCACAUUUCCAGGUCUGGAGGGUCAAUGGCAACACAAUUUAUUUGAUCUUCGUCCACUAGACUUAAUUUUAGACUUUUACGUAGUUGUUCUUAUAAAACAGAUCCUACAGAGCAAGGACUCACCAAGCAACCCCGGGAUGUCUCAUGAAUUUUUAUGAGUGAAAAAUCUGCUCGCUGUUGAUAAGGGAAAAUGCUGCAGCUUCAAGGAUGAGACCCUGGUGAGCUUCAGGCUGUGGGAAGCCGCUCUUCAAGGCCUGAAAUAGAACCAUAGAAUCAGAGAAACACUGAGGUUGGAACGGACCUGUAAUCCAACUGUCGACCCAUCGCCAUCAUGCCAUUAUACCACGUCCCUCAGUGACACAUCUACAUGUUUCUUGAGCACCUCCAGGGAGACUGAUUCUACCACUUCCCUGGGCAGCCCCUUCCAAUGCCUCACCACUCUUCCUGAGAAGAAGUUUUUCCUAAUUUCUCCCCUGAACUUCUGCUGAUGCAACUUGAGGCCAUUCUACUCUGCUCAGCAGGCACCCGUGAGGCAGCAGAGUCUGAUAAAAACUCAGCAUCCCUGUGCUGCUCCAGUGCAAUGCACC
ensembl:lncRNA